rnacentral:rRNA from 1 species
UACGUAGGUUGCGAGCGUUAUCCGGAUUUACUGGGCGUAAAGCGCUUGUAGAUGGUUUUGUAAGUUGGGCGUGAAAUCUCCGGGCUUAACUCGGAGAGGCCGUCCAAUACUGCAAGGCUAGAGUGUGCCAGAGGUAAGCGGAAUUCCAGGUGUAGUGGUGAAAUGCGUAGAUAUCUGGAGGAACAUCAGUGGCGAAGGCGGCUUACUGGGGCAUUACUGACAUUGAGAAGCGACAGCUAGGGGAGAGAACAGG